rnacentral:rRNA from 1 species
UACGGGGGGAGCAAGCGUUGUUCGGAUUUACUGGGCGUAAAGGGCGCGUAGGCGGCCACCGCAAGUCGACUGUGAAAACCCGUGGCUCAACCAUGUGGUCUGCAGUCGAUACGGGCAGGCUAGAAUUCGGUAGGGGAGACUGGAAUUCCUGGUGUAGCGGUGAAAUGCGCAGAUAUCAGGAGGAACACCGGUGGCGAAGGCGGGUCUCUGGGCCGAUAUUGACGCUGAGGAGCGAAAGCGUGGGGAGCGAACAGG